CCUACGGGAGGCAGCAGUGAGGAAUAUUGGUCAAUGGCCGGAAGGCUGAACCAGCCAAGCCGCGUGAAGGACGAAGGUGCCAAGCAUUGUAAACUUCUUUUGUCAAGGGACAAAAUCAGGCUCGAGAGCCUGACCGAGGGUACUUGAAGAAAAAGCAUCGGCUAACUCCGUGCCAGCAGCCGCGGUAAUACGGAGGAUGCGAGCGUUAUCCGGAUUUAUUGGGUUUAAAGGGUGCGUAGGCGGAUUUUUAAGUCAGCGGUAAAAUGUCCGGGCUCAACCCGGGCCGGCCGUUGAAACUGGGGAUCUUGAGUGGGCGAGAAGUAUGCGGAAUGCGUGGUGUAGCGGUGAAAUGCAUAGAUAUCACACAGAACACCGAUUGCGAAGGCAUCUCACGAAUCCGCGAUUGACGCUGAUGCACGAAAGCGUGGGUAUCAAACAGGAUUAGAUACCCCUGUAGUC
rnacentral:rRNA from 1 species